rnacentral:rRNA from 1 species
GGCGAACGCUGGCGGCGUGCUUAACACAUGCAAGUCGAACGGAAAGGCCCUGCUUUUGUGGGGUGCUCGAGGGGCGAACGGGUGAGGAACACGUGAGUAACCUGCCCUUGACUUUGGGAUAACUUCAGGAAACUGGGGCUAAUACCGGAUAGGAGCUCCUGCGGCAUGGUGGGGGUUGGAACGUUUCGGCGGUUGGGGAUGGACUCGCGGCUUAUCAGCUUGUUGGUGGGGUAGUGGCUUACCAAGGCUUUGACGGGUAGCCGGCCGGAGAGGGUGACCGGGCACAUUGGGACUGAGAUACGGCCCAGAGUCCUACGGGAGGCAGCAGUGGGGAAUAUUGCCCAAUGGGCGGAAGCCUGAUGCAGCAACGCCGCGUGCGGGAUGACGGCCUUCGGGUUGUAAACCGCUUUCGCCUGUGACGAAGCGUGAGUGACGGUAAUGGGUAAAGAAGCACCGGCUAACUACGUG